GUGCCAGCAGCCGCGGUAAUACAGAGGUCCCAAGCGUUGUUCGGAUUCACUGGGCGUAAAGGGUGCGUAGGUGGCUUAGCAAGUCUGAUGUGAAAUCUCCGGGCCCAACCCGGAAAUGGCAUUAGAAACUGCUGGGCUAGAGGCUUGGAGGGGGAACUGGAAUGCUCGGUGUAGCAGUGAAAUGCGUAGAGAUCGAGCGGAACACCAGUGGCGAAGGCGAGUUCCUGGACAAGUCCUGACACUGAGGCACGAAAGCUAGGGGAGCAAACAGGAUUAGAAACCCCUGUAGUCC
rnacentral:rRNA from 1 species